AAAAGGCGAUUUUGUAUUGUUAUGUUUAACAGUUGAACCCAUUGCAAAUCGUUGAAGGAAGUACAGUUUUUCUAGGAAGAUAACAUGAAGUUCACAUUGUUGAUGCUGGUAUUUCUUGUCAUAGCAACAGAUAAUGUGUUUUCCCAAUGUCCUAACUGCCGAUGUUUCCUGACGAACCAAUUUGUUUGUUCAACCUAUGGUGUGACCUUUAACAAUGCAUGUUAUAUGCAGUGCUAUUACCAUACUUGGGCCUCCAAUGGUCCAUGUCCCACUCCACCUUCACCACCAACUCUGUAGUAGACAAAGCACCAAGUGAGACUGAAAUAUCAUAUAAUGUAUUAACAUUAAAAUAAGAUAACAUUGUAA